UUCCACGACAUGGCAAUGCAUUCCAGACCAUAUCAACUCAUUGCAUUAGAAAAUUUUUCCUCAUAUCAAUUUUGGUUCUUUUGUCUAUCUUCAUUCUGUGGAUAUCAAAAACACCUCCAGAUGAUGGGAAACUGAAAUAAAAACAAAAAAUGCUGUAAACACUCAGCAGGUCAGGCAGCAUCUGUGGAAAGGGAAACAGAGUUAAUGUUUCAGGUCAAAGACCUUUUGUCAGAACAAAGUUCUUCAUUCAGGAUAUACUGGACGUGCUCUGUCAUUAGCAUCAGACCAGGCUCCAGAAACAGACGCCAUUCUGAGCUCUGCCAUGCAAAGGGAUUACGAGGUGGACAGAGAAAAAGAUUCAAGGAUGUGCUGAAAGCCUCCUUGGAGAAAUGCAAUAUCCUUACUGACUCCUGGGAACCAUGAUCUCUCAAAGUGGAGGAGUAGUCACGAUGGUGCAGAGAGCCUCGAGGCCUUUCAUUGGGAGCAUACAGUGGAAGAAGCUCACCACCUCACAAAAUACUAACCAACCCCACCUGUGGGAGCAUCUGCACUUCCCUUCGGCCUCACCACCUCAGGACCCACUGAACUCGAGUGGAAAUGCUGCCCAAGCUGCAAGAAUUUCCAGCAUUUUCCAAUUUCAGACGUGCAGAAACUGCAGGAUUCUGCUUUUCCAUCCCAGGACAGAAGUCACAGUAGAUGCUGCUCGAUCCGCUGAGUUCCUCCAUCAGAUUGUUUGUUGGAACUGGAAGUGGCAUUGGUUUAUUAUUGUCACUUGUACCGAGGUGGCGUGAUUAGUACGUUUGCGGAUGACACCAACAUCGGUG